UGCAGUCGAACGCUGAAGCUUGGUGCUUGCACUGGGUGGAUGAGUGGCGAACGGGUGAGUAAUACGUGAGUAACCUGCCCUUGACUCUGGGAUAAGCCUGGGAAACUGGGUCUAAUACUGGAUACGACAUGUCACCGCAUGGUGGUGUGUGGAAAGGGUUUUACUGGUUUUGGAUGGGCUCACGGCCUAUCAGCUUGUUGGUGGGGUAAUGGCUCACCAAGGCGACGACGGGUAGCCGGCCUGAGAGGGUGACCGGCCACACUGGGACUGAGACACGGCCCAGACUCCUACGGGAGGCAGCAGUGGGGAAUAUUGCACAAUGGGCGGAAGCCUGAUGCAGCGACGCCGCGUGAGGGAUGACGGCCUUCGGGUUGUAAACCUCUUUCAGCACGGAAGAAGCGAAAGUGACGGUACGUGCAGAAGAAGCGCCGGCUAACUACGUGCCAGCAGCCGCGGUAAUACGUAGGGCGCAAGCGUUGUCCGGAAUUAUUGGGCGUAAAGAGCUCGUAGGCGGUUUGUCGCGUCUGCUGUGAAAGCCCGGGGCUUAACCCCGGGUGUGCAGUGGGUACGGGCAGACUUGAGUGCAGUAGGGGAGACUGGAAUUCCUGGUGUAGCGGUGAAAUGCGCAGAUAUCAGGAGGAACACCGAUGGCGAAGGCAGGUCUCUGGGCUGUUACUGACGCUGAGGAGCGAAAGCAUGGGGAGCGAACAGGAUUAGAUACCCUGGUAGUCCAUGCCGUAAACGUUGGGCACUAGGUGUGGGGAACAUUCCACGUUUUCCGCGCCGUA
rnacentral:rRNA from 1 species